UACGUAGGUGGCAAGCGUUGUCCGGAUUUAUUGGGUUUAAAGGGUGCGUAGGCGGUUUUGUAAGUCAGUGGUGAAAUAUAGCAGCUUAACUGUUAUGGUGCCAUUGAUACUGCAGAACUUGAGUACAGAUGAGGUAGGCGGAAUUGACGGUGUAGCGGUGAAAUGCUUAGAUAUCGUCAAGAACACCUAUAGCGAAGGCAGCUUACUAGGCUGUAACUGACGCUGAGGCACGAAAGUGUGGGGAUCAAACAGG
rnacentral:rRNA from 1 species